rnacentral:rRNA from 1 species
CAGUCGCCGCGGUAAUACGAGGGGAGCUAGCGUUGUUCGGAAUUACUGGGCGUAAAGCGCGCGUAGGCGGCUUUUUAAGUCAGAGGUGAAAGCCCGGGGCUCAACCCCGGAAUUGCCUUUGAAACUGGAAAGCUAGAAUCUUGGAGAGGUCAGUGGAAUUCCGAGUGUAGAGGUGAAAUUCGUAGAUAUUCGGAAGAACACCAGUGGCGAAGGCGACUGACUGGACAAGUAUUGACGCUGAGGUGCGAAAGCGUGGGGAGCAAACAGGAUUAGAUACCCCCGUAGUCCCUGUCUCUUAUAA